GACGAACGCUGGCGGCGUGCUUAACACAUGCAAGUCGAACGCUGAAGCUUGGUGCUUGCACUGGGUGGAUGAGUGGCGAACGGGUGAGUAAUACGUGAGUAACCUGCCCUUGACUCUGGGAUAAGCCUGGGAAACUGGGUCUAAUACUGGAUACGACAUGUCACCGCAUGGUGGUGUGUGGAAAGGGUUUUACUGGUUUUGGAUGGGCACACGGCCUAUCAGCUUGUUGGUGGGGUAAUGGCUCACCAAGGCGACGACGGGUAGCCGGCCUGAGAGGGUGACCGGCCACACUGGGACUGAGACACGGCCCAGACUCCUACGGGAGGCAGCAGUGGGGAAUAUUGCACAAUGGGCGAAAGCCUGAUGCAGCGACGCCGCGUGAGGGAUGACGGCCUUCGGGUUGUAAACCUCUUUCAGCACGGAAGAAGCGAAAGUGACGGUACGUGCAGAAGAAGCGCCGGCUAACUACGUG
rnacentral:rRNA from 1 species